UAUUUCAAGAGUUUUUUCGAUUUGAAAUUUUGACUUAAAUCUGUUCUCAGUUUAUGGUCUUGGGGCCAGAUUUGACUGAGAAAAAAAAUCAAUUGAUGACUGAUAAACUUUCACAUUUUCACCUUAUUCUCUAGAACUAUGCAUGUCACAGUGCCAUUUGUAUAUAUAUAUAUUGAUUGGAUUAAAGUGAGCAUGCAAGUUGGGUUUUUUUUUCCUAGAAGUUUAUCAGAUAUUAAAAUUUCAGCAUUAGUUAAAUUGUAGUGCUAAAGCUCUUAAAAUUCUUGUUUAUGUGCUGUACUGAAAAUGACAAUAAGAAAUUUUCAAUUCUAUUCUUUAAUUUCGAUAAUUUUUAAUGCUUAAAAUACUAUAUUUUUAGCAGGUCAAGUGUAACUUGUCUAUGCCUUUAUUUAGUGCGACCUGUAAAAGUGGAACUCUCUAGUAAAGGAAACCAAUAGUGGCCUAUCUUUAUUCCCGCGCUUUUGUCACCUCCAUUAUUCGUGUAUUCACUGAUUCAGUAUUGUGUUGGAAGAUCUAUAUUUAAGGCUUAAGAAACGAAUUAUUUCUAAAGGAUGUUAGUACAACUUGGAUUUUAGUUCCUGAGAAGUAUUAUAUGAUGGUGAUUGUAAAUGAAGGGCCUGGGACUUGAACUCUAUUGGAAAGACACCAUGAGGAGAGGGUCUAUUGGGUGAUGAUGUAACCUUACCACCAUUCUUAACUCCACCAAAAGAAGAGCCAGCUGGAUAUCUAACCAUUAAGGGGCUAAAUCUGACAUCCAUUGCCUUGACAGACAAGAUCACAUGUGUUAGAGCUCAUCCAUUUACUGUCAUCAAAGUUCCUCAAAUCUAAAAUUUUUGUCCAUUUGUGCAUUGUACCCUGCCUUGUUUAUAAGGACAUGAAUUGGUCAGAAGAUGAACAAAACCUGUCCAGCUUUGUCCACAGACCAACAAAAUGAGGCCUUAUUGGAAAUCCAUUCAUCUCAGCUGAUCAACAUUAUGGAGACAAAGGUCCUGCUGAUUAUGCAGUUGAAGUCUGCUGACAUUCUCACUGCACAGGUGCUCCUUCUGUAUUAUGGUGGAUAUUGCUCCAAUAUGUUUUACAGACUAUAAAGCCUCAAAGUCAUAAAAUCUGGUAAUCUGUAAACAUUCCUAAGUUUCAUUUCCUGGUAGAAAUGUGUUAAAGAUGUGUUUAUAUAUUUUCACUUGUACUUUAAGUUAAUUUUAGACUCUGUAUGAACCUGUAAUAUGUUCGAAGAGUUGUUUUAUUUUUUGUAACACGUACAUCUCUACAAUUGUAUAUACUACAUUUCUAUUAAUUUUGUCAGCUGUUUCAACAGGUUAUGUAGAGACUUUAAAACUACAUAAAUUAAAAAAAAAAUGCUGUUAAUAUCGUCAAUGAGCACAAGAAAAUAUGCAAAUAUACUAUCCAUCCUGCAUAAUUGUUCAGCUCAUUUCAUUUCCACGUGGUCAUGUUAAACCCUGAUCACAUCUUAUGUAAUGAUUGAUUGGCCAAGUCACUCAUCUCAGUGACAUUAAUAAGAGCAUGCAGGCUUAGAACAGUUAUCUAUUAGUUAAACAUAAUUAGUCCCAAUCUGUGACUCUGUGUAUAGAUCAUUAUCGUUUGUUCAUUAUGGGACUGCCAGAAUUAGGUACAACUCUGGGGUGGUGUUGGAAUAAAAUGCAUGCUCUGGUGUAAAAAUUGUGCACACCACACGAGACAUUUGAUGUUUAUGAUAUGUAUUGCAAAAUCUGUGUUAUGUUUGAAGUAUGUGCCACUUUGUUUGAAAUUGAAUGAACUUGCUUUAAUUACUUCCUUAUUAGAUUUAUUGAAGUGGCUAGAUGUUCCUGUUUUAUAACUUUUUUAUCUGACUUUGCAUUUUAUAUUGUUUUAAACAUAUAAAGAUGUAUUUGCCAAUGGGGAAAAAAAAAUAAAUGUAUAAAAUUAUUGAAAUCUUUUUUGACUCAAAAGUAGGACAGUUGGUAGAAAGAAUGUGUGAGUGGUUUUAAAUAUAUUUUUUCCUCUCUGUCAGCAAGAAAUUGAGUAACAUUGUAAGUAGAUUAUACCAUUAGGUAACCCUAAUGUGUUAAAGGGAUUGCACUCUAUGACUGGAUUUUACAUUAGAUAUUAUACAGCCUUAGUGACAAAAUGUGUAUUAAAAAUCAGCUUAUUUCUGUCGGGUAAUAUAUAUGCAUAGGUUUGUAUUUCAGUACAGGUUAUUUGGUUGAACUGACCAAACAAGAUUAUUACAUCCUCAAUUGAAAUUUUUAUAUAAUUGCAUGUACAGGCAUCCACACAGGGUGAAGCUGCGUAUAAUACAAACUGGUGACAUGCGACAGUUUAUUUAUUAAUCCUGAACUGUUAUGUUUAUGUAGACGUAUAUGACAUUUCCUUGAUAUGAGCCGUUACAGAAUAUGCUUGUUUGACAUCCUUUACAUAAUAUUGACAAAUACCUCGUGUUACUUGCAUGUGCUGAUCACGACAAUUUUGCUUGAAAAAUAAACUCUACUGACAAAAAGCUUUUUUUUUUUUCAAAGUAAAUAUUAGUUGUUCUCAGUUAUUUUCCUUAAUUGUAAAAUUUAUGUAUGAUGUCAUUAAUUGUUAUUGUAAAUACAUGUAUAAAAAUG